rnacentral:misc_RNA from 1 species
GCCUCCGUAUCGUCCAUCCCGCCGGCAACCGUUACCGGCGACGACUUCCGUGAUGACUCUCUACCGCGGGAUCCACUGUUACAGUCCGGAACCUACAUCGACGCUGAGUCGAAUGUUAACACUACACCGAACAAAGGCGUAAGGCCAAAUGCAGGUAAUGUGCCCGAUCUAACUCCGGCGCCGGCGGAGGGGACUCAGGAGAUUCAGUCGGUGGAUACGGUGGCGCAGACGGUGACGCCUCUGCGUUAUGGGAGUAGAUCGGCAGAGGUGAGUGUAGAGAGACCGACCUGGUUGCCGGAGAGUUGGAGGUUCGAAGCGAAAGUUCGUACCUCUGGCGCUACUGCUGGAACUGUUGAUAGAUACUAUUAUGAACCAGUCACCGGGAGUAAAUUCCGGUCAAAGACUGAGGUGCUUUAUUUCCUAGAAACUGGUGGCAAGCGCAAGAAGGCAAUUACUGGAACUACUGGCAGUGGCACUGAUGCUACACCAUCUGAGACUCCCCCAAUCAAAAAACAGAAGAAGAGUAUCUCGAAAACAAAGAAGGUUACUUCUUUCUACUUUGAUUCUGGGAAUCCGCCCCAGAGCGUGUGCUGGGUUCAAACAGAUACUUCCGCAGACACUUGGACACCUUCAUGUAAUGGCAGCGUGGUUCCUGGAACCCGGAAGCAAGAAUGGGAUGCUGUGUUCUUAAGUGUAUCAAAGCUGAAGCGAAGGAACACACAAACAGGGAGAUAGGCGGCUCUAAUGUGUACUAUACACUAACAGUGAACAAACCUUUUUCUGGAUCUAUCUAGACUAGAUAGUAUGUCAAAUGCCCGCCUGAAUUUGCCUUACUUCUUUUGGUUUUAGCUAAGGGCUCUCAUAGGUGUUGAUAACUUCUUGUUUUGGCCUCAUGGAAUAGGCAAAAGUUGCUUCACCUAUAUCUGUUCAUCAUGUAAUCUUAUGGUAUUUUGG